AACGAACGCUGGCGGCAGGCCUAACACAUGCAAGUCGAGCGCUCACGUCGGGGUGGGUGGCGGCCGGGUGAGUACCGCGUGGGAACGUGCCCUUUUCUACGCAAUAGCGUCGGGAAACUGAGAGUAAUAUCGUCUACGCCCUCUGGCGGUCAGAGUUUUCGGAGAAGGAACGGCGCGCGUUGGAUCGGGUAGUUGGGGGGGUAAUGGCGUACCAAGCCGACGUUCCAUAGCUGGUGUGAGAGGAUGAUCAGCAACACUGGGACUGAGACGCGGCCCAGACUCCUACGGGAGGGAGCAAUGGGGAAUCUUAGACAAUGGCGGCAAGCCUGAUCUAGCCAGGCCGCGUGAGUGAUGAAGGCCGGAGGGUAGUAAAGCUCUUUAAUCUAGGAAGAUAAUGACGGUACCGGAAGAAGAAGCCCCGGCUAACUACGUG
rnacentral:rRNA from 1 species